rnacentral:rRNA from 1 species
UUGAAGAGUUUGAUCAUGGCUCAGAUUGAACGCUGGCGGCAGGCCUAACACAUGCAAGUCGAACGGUAACAGGAAACAGCUUGCUGUUUCGCUGACGAGUGGCGGACGGGUGAGUAAUGUCUGGGAAACUGCCUGAUGGAGGGGGAUAACUACUGGAAACGGUAGCUAAUACCGCAUAACGUCGCAAGACCAAAGAGGGGGACCUUCGGGCCUCUUGCCAUCGGAUGUGCCCAGAUGGGAUUAGCUUGUUGGUGGGGUAACGGCUCACCAAGGCGACGAUCCCUAGCUGGUCUGAGAGGAUGACCAGCCACACUGGAACUGAGACACGGUCCAGACUCCUACGGGAGGCAGCAGUGGGGAAUAUUGCACAAUGGGCGCAAGCCUGAUGCAGCCAUGCCGCGUGUAUGAAGAAGGCCUUCGGGUUGUAAAGUACUUUCAGCGGGGAGGAAGGGAGUAAAGUUAAUACCUUUGCUCAUUGACGUUACCCGCAGAAGAAGCACCGGCUAACUCCGUGCCAGCAGCCGCGGUAAUACGGAGGGUGCAAGCGUUAAUCGGAAUUACUGGGCGUAAAGCGCACGCAGGCGGUUUGUUAAGUCAGAUGUGAAAUCCCCGGGCUCAACCUGGGAACUGCAUCUGAUACUGGCAAGCUUGAGUCUCGUAGAGGGGGGUAGAAUUCCAGGUGUAGCGGUGAAAUGCGUAGAGAUCUGGAGGAAUACCGGUGGCGAAGGCGGCCCCCUGGACGAAGACUGACGCUCAGGUGCGAAAGCGUGGGGAGCAAACAGGAUUAGAUACCCUGGUAGUCCACGCCGUAAACGAUGUCGACUUGGAGGUUGUGCCCUUGAGGCGUGGCUUCCGGAGCUAACGCGUUAAGUCGACCGCCUGGGGAGUACGGCCGCAAGGUUAAAACUCAAAUGAAUUGACGGGGGCCCGCACAAGCGGUGGAGCAUGUGGUUUAAUUCGAUGCAACGCGAAGAACCUUACCUGGUCUUGACAUCCACGGAAGUUUUCAGAGAUGAGAAUGUGCCUUCGGGAACCGUGAGACAGGUGCUGCAUGGCUGUCGUCAGCUCGUGUUGUGAAAUGUUGGGUUAAGUCCCGCAACGAGCGCAACCCUUAUCCUUUGUUGCCAGCGGUCCGGCCGGGAACUCAAAGGAGACUGCCAGUGAUAAACUGGAGGAAGGUGGGGAUGACGUCAAGUCAUCAUGGCCCUUACGACCAGGGCUACACACGUGCUACAAUGGCGCAUACAAAGAGAAGCGACCUCGCGAGAGCAAGCGGACCUCAUAAAGUGCGUCGUAGUCCGGAUUGGAGUCUGCAACUCGACUCCAUGAAGUCGGAAUCGCUAGUAAUCGUGGAUCAGAAUGCCACGGUGAAUACGUUCCGGGCCUUGUACACACCGCCCGUCACACCAUGGGAGUGGGUUGCAAAAGAAGUAGGUAGCUUAACCUUCGGGAGGGCGCUUACCACUUUGUGAUUCAUGACUGGGGUGAAGUCGUAACAAGGUAACCGUAGGGGAACCUGCGGUUGGAUCACCUCCUU